UACAGAGACUGCAAGCGUUAUUCGGAUUCACUGGGCGUAAAGGGUGCGCAGGUGGCCAGGUGUGUGAGGCGUGAAAGCCCGGGGCUUAACCCCGGAAUUGCACCUCAAACUACUUGGCUAGAGCAUUGGAGAGGGGAGCAGAAUUCAUGGUGUAGCAGUGAAAUGCGUAGAUAUCAGGAGGAAUACCGAUGGCGAAGGCAGGUCUCUGGGCUGACACUGACGCUCAUGCACGAAAGCGUGGGGAGCAAACAGG
rnacentral:rRNA from 1 species